UUUCUUUGAAAUUAAAAAAAAAAGUAAGAAUUGUAUAUUCCUUUAAUAAAAUAUCUCAGACUAGCCUCAACUAAAACAGUUUUUGGUCUUUUAUGGCAUGU